rnacentral:misc_RNA from 1 species
UACAGAGGUGGCUAGCGUUGUUCGGAAUUACUGGGCGUAAAGGGCGCGUAGGCGGUUCGUUAAGUCCCGUGUGAAAUCCCUCGGCUCAACUGAGGAACUGCACGGGAAACUGGCGGGCUUGAGUUCGGGAGAGGGAAGCGGAAUUCCGGGUGUAGCGGUGAAAUGCGUAGAUAUCCGGAGGAACACCAGUGGCGAAGGCGGCUUCCUGGACCGAUACUGACGCUGAGGCGCGAAAGCUAGGGGAGCAAACGGG